UCGUCAAUUGAGUAUAAAAAUGACGAUCAAUCGGGAUAGGAUCAUCAUCGAGUUCUGUUGCUCAGUCUGAUAUUAGCUAGUCAAGCAUUUUCUACACGACUAUACUUUUCCACCAUGCGUUUCUUCGUUUCAAUGGUUCUUCUUGUCGCCCUUUGCGUGGUCUACUUGCCAGGAGCCUUUUCGACGCCCGUAGAAUAUGAAGAGAAAGCUGUAAUGUUCGAUCGGGACACGCUGGAGUCGCUGCAAGAAGAAAUUGAUAAAACCCCAUGUGAUUAUAAAAAAUUCAACUUGUGCACUAAAGGAUGUUUCCCGAAAAUCCCGUUGCCUGAUUGCAUCAAGAAAUGUUUGAAACAAUGCUGAACAGCCUCGAACGUUGAACGAACUCGUGACCAGCAAUUACGGACCCAGACAAAUUGGUUUUUCUUUCUUUAAUUUUUCGAUUGGCUAAUACACAUACUAGACUGCA